rnacentral:lncRNA from 1 species
CUGCCUUGGCUACAACCUCGUAGGUGAGCUCGUCCUCUCCUCUGCUGCUUUGUUUUUAUUAGUUUGCGGCUAUGUUCAUUUUCCAUGGACUAUAGAGUUCAUAAAACGUCUAUGGAGUACAAGCACGCAGCUCCAGCUCCUUUGAUUUGCAUCCAUGCAGUACAAACACUCAAUUCCUAUGUUUAGUACACCAAACAUGCACUUAGGUUCAGUAGUACUCCUAGGUUUUGUAAAUGCUCCUAAAUCCAGUUAGGUUCAGUAGUACUCCUAGGAGUAAAUGGGCAUCAAGAGAAUGAUUUGGCAUGUGUUUCAGUUAGGUUCAGUAAUACUCCUAGAUUUUGCAUGGUGUUCAGUUAGGUUCAUUUAUCCAAUAGCACAAGCAAAGCAUUUUCAGUCUAAUCUGCUUCCAAAGGACAUAAUCUUUACCCUGUAGGCUAGAUUGGGCUUAGAGCCACGUGGUAGCCAACUGCAUGUUGGAAACAGGAGCAAGAAUGGUCAACUUUAUGCUUUGAUCAACUAUGGUGUUUGGUGUUUUGGUUUAGUCCUAUGAACUUCUUAUAGUAUUUCUUCAUAUAUGGGACAUUAAGAAAUGUAUUAGCUGCACCUAUAUGCGCUCCCGCAAAACAAAACUGAACAAUUCCUCUAAUUUGGAAUUUGUAUUUGUUGUAUUCUCUAUCUGCUAUGCAAGCUACACGAUGCAACAAUUUUAGUUUUUUAUUCUUUUGUACUGUCAUGAACUCUGAUGGUUGUAUAGGGCAACUUUUUUCUUCACUCCAUAAUUCAGGAUGAACCAGGUGUCUUGGUCAUAUGGUUUAUUUCAGUCCACCUCAGGGAACAAAGUUGGUAUCUUUUGUCUGAAUUUACGGACAUCUUAUAGAAUAAAUUAUGCCAGAUUUGUUUCCUUCACUCCUCUUGUUAUGCCAGAUUUGUUUCCCUCACUCCUCUUGAUUUGUUCCAUUUCUUACAAUCUACUCUGCUAGGUUCAUCUCCAAUGGCAAAUCCAUAGCUUUGUGCUAAAGGUUCAGGCAGAUGGAAGCAUUAGCAAUUCCCUCGACGUAGCUCCCGAUUGGGCCUGAACCACAACCAGCUAAGGUACCAAACUUUCUUUACAACCUCAUUACUACUAGAGGACGUUUGCCUUUUUCUUACUACUAGAGUACUUUGUGAUGACAUUUCACUUUUAUUUUUCAGGGGACAUUUCUACAGAUCGUUUCUAUCUGAUUUCCGACAUUUUCAGUUUUUGGAACACCCAGAAUGGAUAUAUUGAGUGUCCCUCUUGCUGCUAAACACAAUACAGUUGAGAUUAUGUCCCUACUGAGAUUCUUAAAGAACAUGGUACACCGGAAUAGCUUCAGAUCAAAGUGAGCUGCACAUUUCAACACAUGUGAUUUCUAAAAAUCCUAUACCCCCAAAUAUAAUUUUUUAUUGGUCCAGUUUCAUGAUUUUGUAUAAACCCGUCUUCAGCUAUACAAAAUAGCUUGGUGUGUGAUGCAGCAAAUUAUGUGCUUGUGCUUGCAGGUAACUCAGCCGAUGGACCUUCUUAUCAUGAAACACCAUGGCAAUCGAGCUGUCGUCCGUCCAUCCCUCCCUCCUCGCGCCCGGAACCCUAGCUCGCGGCCAUGGCGACCGUGCAUGUUGCAGGCAGUGCAGGAUCUUCAGCACUACAAGUUGUGAUUUCUAUCACAUGUUUGUUUGAUACACAAGGUCGAUCGUCUAUCACCUGUUCCUAUUAGGCUUGAAAUACAACAAAGAAUAUGCGAUUAGUGCUUACUACUCUUGCAUGUAAAAAGUUGUGAUUUCUUUUUUUCAAGCCCCUUUCUUUUCUCUGGAUGCAGGUCCUUCCAUCAUGUACCCACCCACACAUGCAAAUGAAUUCGUUUGGUGGUUAUAUCUUGAGUGGCAUCUGAAUACACAAGCGUGACUAAUAGUAAGCGUGAGUGCUAGAGAAGUCCCCAUUUAGCAUGAUGGAGAGCAGGAUUGUCCCCAUUUAUAUUUGGUUCACACAGUUGUAGCUUCCUUUUUCUACGGGUUGCAAUGAUAUGGCUUGGUCGCGGCUUAGGUCAGACAGAGAUGAUCCAGUACUAAUUAAGCAUCAUUGAUAAAUAGCAAGAGGGGCAUGUGAGGAGCUCUGUCUUGCUUGUAAUAGCUAAACUAUUGUUACCUACUUAAUGAGAUCCAUCAUCGAUCUGCUCUAUUGACUAAAUGUACCCUGCUUGCUUUGCUUUGACAAAAUGGCCUGUACUGAACUUGGUCAUCCUUGGCUACCCAGAUGAGAUGUCUAUAAGGAGAACUAUCCAGUCCAUAUCUGAAUCUAGGAACUAUGAACUAUUAUAUCGAUGAUGUCGAGUUAUGUCUACAUAGCCUGCCUUGCUAUGCUUCUAUAAGCUCAAUGUAUCCUUUGUACUGUUCUUCUUCUUCGACUUAUCUGCUCAUUUUUAGAUAAAUUUUCAUGUGAGUACCAAUGUUAUAAACCAGAAUUCUCUUUCUAAGGAUGCUUAUGUCAGAACGGUUCAUCAUAUUUGUCAAUAUAUUCUAUACAAUAUGUUAUGCAGUCUAAAACCCAUCUUAAAUUUCAUAUCUUAUGAAUAGAUAAUAAUUUGCAGUAUGACACUGUACUGAACUAAUAUCAUUGCUUUUUUUCAUAUUUACAAUGCUCCUAUGACUGUUCUGUAAAAAAAAUGCUCCUAUGACUGUAUUACCCAAUUGGAUAUAAUUGUACUCGGCAGCGGCGCUGCCGGGUGCGGCAAGCCGCAUUUCCUACUGUUAAAUUGAUUGACUGGUGUGCAUAUGAUUUCAAGGUAUCACUUACAAGGUAGGAGACUGAUAUGAACUGCCAAUGUAAUUUCUUUUUAUUUGUGAUUCUUGCUGUUUAAUUGAUUGACUGGUGUGCAUAUGAUUUCUAAUAUAUGAAUUCCUUCGUCUUGUGUAUUGAAUAUAGGAUUUAGCUACAGAUAAUCAUUAAUCAACUGAUGUAAUUUCUUUGCCAAGUUGUAGUUAGAGUUAAAUGUGCCACUGGUUAUUUUAUAUCCUUUAUUUAUUCUUAUUCUUCUAAAUGAAAUAGGAGAUUUGUUGGUGCUCCAUUAACUAAAUAUCACUGACAAAAUGUUGUUCUCAUUUCAGUUGAGAGAAAAGUUGCAUACUUUGUGAACCAAUUGGAGAUUCAUGUUGUUUCCCUGGAUAUUGUGUAGUUAGAGUUGAUGUCACUGGUUAUUUUAUAUCAUUUGUUACUAUUCUUUAAUCGCCAAAUCAUAUAGGAGAUUUUGUUGGUGCCCAAUUAACCAAAUGUUACUGACAAAACUGACAAAAUGUUGUUCUUAUUUCAGUUUGAGCGCAAAUUGCAUGCUCUAUAAACUAACGGGAGAUUUCUGUUGUUACCAGAAUAUUGUAGGAAGGGUGGACUAUGAAGGGAAACACUGGUGUUCUAAGAUAGAUGUUCUGUGUUUGAGAUCUUGCCUUGGUAGCUGGAUGCCUUGGUGCAAGACAUUCAAGGUAAGAUUGAUCCCCUGUACCCAUGAGUUCACUUCUCAUGUAGAGCUAAUAGUCCUGUUAUUUUUCUAUACACUAUGGCAGAGUAGAGAUAUAUUGUGUAUGCCAACAUGUAUGUAAGAGUAAUAGUAAUAUGAUACUUCUGAUUGUAGAUCCAAGGUUUUAAACCGACAAAAAAUGCUAUCAGUUCUCAUAUCAAAUUUUUAUGCCAGAUGUGCAUGCUCAAAGAUUUUGGUCGGCAACUUAUAGUGUGUAUCAAAGGAUUCUGAAAAAAAUAAGGUUGAGUUGUUAUCGGACAUUGGACCUUUAUAUCUUUUGCAUGAAAUUUUAUUUAUUACUUGAGCUCUGUAUUUUUCCUGUGCAUAUCUUUGUGCUAAAAAAAAUGCAUUUCUGUUAAAUAGUAAUUCCUAACUAAUUGUUUCUGAUAAACAACGAUGCCUUCCUUACACAGGUUGUUUGAUGCGUUCGUGCUCGUCGGCGGGACGGUGCAAGGCGCAACUCCGACGCGGUUCCUCGCCGGUUGGACGGCGUUCAGGCACAACCCCGGCGCGCACUGAGUACUGCCUCGGCUACAGCCUCCCUCAGUGAGGUCCAUCUUCCUCCCGCUCCUCUGCUUCGGCUACUGUAUGGGACAUGGCCAUGGCUAUAUUGAUGUGGUGCUUGUCUGGUUGAUGCUCUAUGCCCUACUCAUGCAUCGGUUCCUACUUGAGCUAUGUACUUGUGGAUCCAUGCCAUUUUAGGGUUUGCAGGCUGCUGUUCAUGUUUAGUUGCUAUCAUAGGAGCUAAUGUGAUGCUCUGGUUUACAUGUCGAUGCCCUGGUCCUAUAGCUAUGCUCCUGGAUUUGCUAUAUUGAUCAGUGGCGUUCGUGCUAGGGCGAUGAUGAUUAAUCGUGGCUGAAAUAAGUGUGCUUUGAGCAAUCGUGGCACAUGUGCGUAUCAGGUUGGAUCCU